GAUUUUAUUUUUUUAAAAAGACAUCUAAAUUUAAAUUCGUCUAUAAAAGUAGGAAGAGCUGCAAAUUAAUAAUCCAUUAUAUAAAUUGUAUACGUUAUUUCUCAAAAUCAAAUUAGAAAGACCACGUAAGGAUUUACUUUAAGCCGUUGGUAUCACUGUUACAACCAAUGGGGGAAAGGCAGAAGUUUAGAAAUAUGUAAAGAUGGCAACUAGUAAUAAAAACGGUUCAAAAAUAGCAUAAAUGUUCCAGGUCUAUGGAAACUAGCCAAUACUAUCAUGCUCCCUAAGAGGAAUGAACUUUAAGGGAAGGGGUAAAUCACUGACCAACCUUAACCCUACAGGACACAGGCCGUUAUCUCUUCUAAAUAUCCUAAGUGAAAUCUUCAAAGAAAGUCUCCUAGAUUUUACUACAGAAAACAAUACGAUUCCUUUAUUCCAAUUCUGCUUCUGAGAAGAAGCCCUUCGAUCAAAAGUGACGUGCCAAACGUGCAUAGUGGAUAAGAUUUGAUGGAUAAUAUAUAAUGACCAUGGGAGUUGGCAAGUAGUAAAACAGAUACAGUAGUACUAAAAGGACCAAGGUUGGACCACAUAACAAACUGUCAUAAAUAGUGUGAUGUUAAUGUCUUUUUGGUCCCAAUUAAUUAAAACUCUAUUGUUUGGAUAACUUUAUAUUUACAUCGUAUAAACGGUGAUUCAACCAUAGUUGUUUACAAAUACAAAUCAUUACCUAUACCACACAUUUGUACAUAUCAAGUAUCUAAUUAUAACAACUCUUGAAUUUA